AACGCACCUUGCGCUCCUUGGUAUUCCGAGGAGCAUGCCUGUUUGAGUGUCAUGAAAUUCUCAACCUCUCUGGUUUUCUGACUAGUUAGGCUUGGAUCAUGGAAGUUGUUGGCUCAAUUUGAAUCAACUCUUCUUAAAUAUAUUAGCAAAGGCUUUUGCUGACCAUCAUUGGUAUGAUAAUUAUCUAUAUCAUUGGUAACCAGUUCCCUUCACAGGGGGUCUUGCUUCUAAUCGUCGUUUCGACAACUUGACAACUUUGACCUCAAAUCAGGUAGGACUACCCGCUGAACUUAA
rnacentral:misc_RNA from 1 species